CCAGAUUGAAUCUGAUAGUCACAACCUUAUUUUGUAUUUGAAUUUUAUUUUAUGUUCUACAAAUCCAAAUAACUUGAAAUUUUAAGUGUGUGUUGCAAUAAAUAAAUUGAUCAAAAUACCCCUAAAAUGUUUUGGGGGUAUUUUAGUUAAUUUAUUUUUUACGAAUUAUUUUUUAAAAUAUUUUUAUUAGGUGCGCCUUGAUGAGAAGAAUGAAUUCCUAAACUUUUAAGUAAUUUAAAUUCAUAUAAAUAAAAUAAAAUUCAGCCUAAAUUCGAUCUAGACCGUUGGGUUCAUAUGUUCAUAUGAAUUAGUGGGCUAAUCUCAGUAUUUUUUGUAUAUAUAUAAGAGCAUACGUAUCCAACACUAGUGUGUGUAUAUAAGAGCAGGCAUCAAUUGGAUCUCAACAAGAUCAAUGAAAUUCAACUAGACAUGAUUUGUUUUACAGGAAAGAUAAAAUAUUAUCAUGCUUUUCGUAUACUCGUCGGUUGUGUACACAUUAUAGCAAGGGUUUAAAAAGCGGAUCGGUGACCCGGAUCGGGCACAUCAAAAACCUAUCCGGAUCGGCGAAUUUGUGAUCCAGAUAGGGAAUCGGUUGAAUCGUUAGAAUUAAAGCUUCAAAACAAUCUGAAAAAAUUAUUAAAAUUCAUUAUAAAUAUUGUUUUUAAAGAAUCCAAUAAGAAAUGAGGGUACUACAUUAAUAACUUUUAUUUUUUUUUAUCAAUUUGUGAAUAUUAAGAUGCUCUUUCCCUAUAUAAACUUAAGUAUUAAAUUUGCAUCAU
rnacentral:lncRNA from 1 species